rnacentral:tRNA from 1 species
AAUAUGGCAGAUUAGUGCAAUGAAUUUAAGAUUCAUAUAUAAAUUAUAUUUUUCUAGAAAUUUGUAACUGAAAA